GGGUUGCAUAGCUGGGCAAUACGCAUCAGGUCUAACUUUGGGACCAUCCUCAGCAGGUGCACCUUGUGAUCGUUGAAGCCGUAUAUGAAAUCGAUCAAGAAUACCUCCAUAAUUUUUUUCUAAAAAUUGAUCAAAGUCUUGUACUCCUCGAUGCAGGAGAUUUUGAUGUCAUCGAAAAUAUGGACUGGCGUCUUGCUAGGAGAAAACUGAGCCUGGCCAGAAAAAAGGGGAGCCUGAAAAGAUGGUGGCAACCCAACCGAUGAUGGCUUAAACAGCUGUGAAAAGG
rnacentral:lncRNA from 1 species